rnacentral:rRNA from 1 species
GACGAACGCUGGCGGCGUGCUUAACACAUGCAAGUCGAACGGAAAGGCCCUGCUUUUGUGGGGUGCUCGAGUGGCGAACGGGUGAGUAACACGUGAGUAACCUGCCCUUGACUUUGGGAUAACUUCAGGAAACUGGGGCUAAUACCGGAUAGGAGCUCCUGCUGCAUGGUGGGGGUUGGAAAGUUUCGGCGGUUGGGGAUGGACUCGCGGCUUAUCAGCUUGUUGGUGGGGUAGUGGCGUACCAAGGCUUUGACGGGUAGCCGGCCUGAGAGGGUGAACGGCCAAGUCGGGGCUGGACUACGGACCAGACUAGCACGGGCGCCAGCAGUAGGAAAUAUUGCACAAUGGCCGGAAGCCAGGUGCAGCAACGCAGCGUGCGGGAUGACGCCUGUCGGGUUGUAAACCACUUUCGCCUGUGACGAGGCGUGAGUGACGGUCAUGGGUAAAGAAGCACCGGCUAACUACGUG